GUGACCCAGUGGGGAGUGUGGAUGGACAGUGGUGUUAUUUUACUUAAUAAGGGCCCAAAGCGUGAGUAGUGACGCUGGCAAUUCUGAUACACUGAAGAGAAGCUGUAAAGUGCCUCCUUUAAGUGAAAAGGGACAAGUUCUCGGCUUAAUACGGAGAGAAAAAAUUGUAUGAGGAGCUUGCUAAGGCCUAUGGGUACCUAAUACACUGUGAUCUCCUGUGGAGAGAAGCUGGCUGUUGGACUUUAAGGAGGUUUCUAAUACCGAACAGGAUCACUGACAGCCAUCUGUGCCUGGCCCCAGGCAUGGAAUCUCCUAGGAUAUGUCUACACUCACCUGUCGGCACCAUGGGUUUUGGCUGCUAAUAUCAUUUGAACACUUUGCAUUGAAAGAAAUAAGAUAAAAAAGGCUUAUGGAGACAUAGGAAAUAAUGCAAAUCGAAACACAAAAUCAAUCUGUGGCUUGCAGAUAAUUUUUAAACAAGAACCAGAAAAAUCUCAAUCACCUACAGAAAAGUAAGUGGAUUCUUUCUUCUUUGAAAGUGUACUCCCUGACUCUCAGAAGCCCACUGUCUAUAUCCAGCAGACUAGGGGCAUUUCACCUCUGCGUUGGUGAGUCACAGGAACUAGAGAGAGACUAGCAACAUUGUCAUCCCCUGAGAACUUGUGAGAAAUGAAGGAUUUCAGAUCCUGCCUAGUCCUACUUAAUCAGAAUGUGCAUUUGAAUAAGAUCUACAGGU